UACGAAGGGGUGCAAGCGUUACUCGGAAUCACUGGGCGUAAAGCGUGCGUAGGCGGUUCGUUAAGUCUGCUGUGAAAGCCCUGGGCUCAACCUGGGAACUGCAGUGGAUACUGGCGGACUAGAGUGUGAUAGAGGAUGGUGGAAUUCCCCGGUGUAGCGGUGAAAUGCGUAGAGAUCGGGGAGGAACACCAGUGGCGAAGGCGGCCAUCUGGAUCAACACUGACGCUGAGGCACGAAAGCGUGGGGAGCAAACAGG
rnacentral:rRNA from 1 species